AUUCAGCUGGUGAGUACCGAAUAGGACGAAACGCGCUUCCUGGAU
rnacentral:hammerhead_ribozyme from 1 species